rfam:Apaloderma vittatum contig67485, whole genome shotgun sequence.
GGCCAGUUAGCUCAGUCAGUUGAGCGUAGCACUAACAACGGUAAGGUCACGGGUUCAAUUCCUGUUUGGUCC